rnacentral:lncRNA from 1 species
GUCGGGCGGGCGCGGGACCAGCCGCUGAAGCAAGACUGGGCACGUCCACCCUACGAGUGAGGAGACACUCAGCCACGGCUCUGCUAGAACUUGGACCCACGUCUCCUGACUCCUAAGCGCAGGGCUCCUGCUUUCCGAUGCAGCCACUCCCGGAGCACUUGUUCUGAACAAUUCGUACAUUCUGUAAAUUCAGCAUUCCAGCUCUAGCCUUUACCGUCGGGCAGACGGCUGUCGGAAAGGCGCUUGGCCGCUCGGAGCGCUCCAGUGAGAGAAUUACGCCUGUGGGAGUCGGCACGCAGGCGUGCACAGCAGCCGAGGAGAAACAGGAGGGAUCGUGAGGGCGUGUCACGAGGCGGGGCAGGGGCCAGGGUUGCAGCAAGUGUAGAGGUGGAGUCCGGGAGCAGCUGCUGCUCGCUGCCAGCCUGCUGUCCACCUGGUCUCCUGUUGCUCAACAAAUGCGGGAAAUCCAGCCUGUGGGCCUGCGUGGGACUCUAGCUGCGCGCACUAUCUGUGAAAAGCCGUCCUGCGCACCUUGCUCGGGCCAGGUCCUCACUGAGCUCCUCUCGCUCUCCCCCGGGACUAUGUCUUCCCUUCUGCUGGCCCCUGCUUGCCCUCUUCUCAUUACCCCCACAGCAUGAUCCAGGGAUUGAACUCGGGACCUUGCGUUUGCGAGGCAGGCGCCGGAACCACUGAGCUAAAUCCUCGGCCCCCGAAGACAAUUUUUAAGUCAAGAUUGGCCCUGGCACCAAAAGAUGUGGACUUCAGCUGUGUAGUUUACUGGGUAAAUUGGGGGUGCCGGCGACUGAGGCCUUGGCUGUCAAAGAUGAGGCUGACGGAGAGGUAGGACACCACCUCCUAGAAUACAGAUGGAUGCCUUGUCUUCCCCAGGCUCUUCUGAGACCCGACUCAGCUUAGUGAGUUGGUUGAAUGGAGCAAAAAGUCAUACUUUCCAUCAACUAGAGAUUGGUGAGGUCAGAUGAGGAGGAAGAAUCCUCUUCUCGCCGUGGGUUGCACCUCUGACUUCCAUUACAAGUUACAGUGGAAAGUCGUUGGUUGGAAACAACAUGUGGAAACUGACAGCGCAGCAAACCACUCCCAGGCAGAAAGCACACCUGAGGGGCCCGUGCCUGGAGAAUGCUCUCUCGCUGGCCACGUAGCUGAGUGAGCGAAGGUCUGUGGGUUUUCUGUGUGUUAUUUCCUGACCCAGUGAUGUGCAGUCCGUUUUUACCCCCUCUCUGCCUGUGUGCUGACCAUCACGGGAGGAGAGGCAGGGGCACUGAGGGGCCAGGGAGCAUCUCCCAACCUGAUGCAAAUUUAAGACCCUCUUUUCCAGCAGAGCCUGUGUGUAUGUAUCUAGCAGCUGGGAUUAAAAAAAAAC